rnacentral:rRNA from 1 species
GAUGAACGCUGGCGGCGUGCCUAAUACAUGCAAGUCGAGCGAACAGACGAGGAGCUUGCUCCUCUGACGUUAGCGGCGGACGGGUGAGUAACACGUGGAUAACCUACCUAUAAGACUGGGAUAACUUCGGGAAACCGGAGCUAAUACCGGAUAACAUGUUGAACCGCAUGGUUCAACAGUGAAAGACGGUCUUGCUGUCACUUAUAGAUGGAUCCGCGCCGCAUUAGCUAGUUGGUAAGGUAACGGCUUACCAAGGCAACGAUGCGUAGCCGACCUGAGAGGGUGAUCGGCCACACUGGAACUGAGACACGGUCCAGACUCCUACGGGAGGCAGCAGUAGGGAAUCUUCCGCAAUGGGCGAAAGCCUGACGGAGCAACGCCGCGUGAGUGAUGAAGGUCUUCGGAUCGUAAAACUCUGUUAUGAGGGAAGAACAAAUGUGUAAGUAACUAUGCACGUCUUGACGGUACCUAAUCAGAAAGCCACGGCUAACUACGUG